GCCAGGAUAGCUCAGCGGAAGAGCAGCGGUUUCGUAAACCGCAGGUCGUGGGUUCAAAUCCCACUCCUGGCU
rnacentral:tRNA from 1 species